UCCCUUGUGGCUCAGCUGGUAGAGAAUCCACCUGCAGUGUGGGAGACCCUGGUUCAAUUCCUGGAUCGGGAA
rnacentral:tRNA from 1 species